GAUGAACGCUGGCGGCGUGCCUAAUACAUGCAAGUCGAGCGAACAGAUGAGGAGCUUGCUCCUCUGACGGUAGCGGCGGACGGGUGAGUAACACGUGGAUAACCUACCUAUAAGACUUGGAUAACUUCGGGAAACCGGAGCGAAUACCGGAUAAUAUAUUGAACCGCAUGGUUCAAUAGUGAAGGACGGUUUUGCUGUCACUUAUAGAUGGAUCCGCGCCGCAUUAGCUAGUUGGUAAGGUAAUGGCUUACCAAGGCAACGAUGCGUAGCCGACCUGAGAGGGUGAUCGGCCACACUGGAACUGAGACACGGUCCAGACUCCUCCGGCAGGCAGCAGUAGGGAAUCUUCCGGCAUGGGCGAAGGCCUGACGGAGCAACGCCGCGUGAUUGAUGAAGGUCUUCGGAUCGUAAAACUCUGUUAUUAGGGAAGAACCAAUGUGUAAGUAACUAUGCACGUCUUGACGGUACCUAAUCAGAAAGCCACGGCUAACUACGUG
rnacentral:rRNA from 1 species